rnacentral:rRNA from 1 species
UACGGAGGGGGCUAGCGUUGUUCGGAAUUACUGGGCGUAAAGGGCGCGUAGGCGGCCAGCGCAAGUCAGUUGUGAAAUCUCCGAGCUUAACUCGGAAAGGUCAACUGAUACUGCGCGGCUAGAGUGCAGAAGGGGCAACUGGAAUUCUCGGUGUAGCGGUGAAAUGCGUAGAUAUCGAGAGGAACACCUGCGGCGAAGGCGGGUUGCUGGGCUGACACUGACGCUGAGGCGCGAAAGCUAGGGGAGCGAACGGG